GCAUUCUUAUUUAAUUUCCUUUCAUUACAGGUUAGCGGAAAAUUCGUUGAAGAUACAGAACUGAGGAGAAAUAUGCAAUUUAAGGACAAGUUUUGCAGCAUAAUAAUGUGGCAUCAGCGCCACGCAAAUGAUCAUUAUUUAUGCUUUGGCAUCAGGAGAUGGAGACGGCAUCAUAAAAUUGUCAACUUUUUGUGUUUAAAAUCGCGAAAGUUGGCGAUUUAGUUUUGCUUUUGCGGUGCCUGUCUCAUGAUUUACGUGCGCGUAGUCGGCAGGGUGAAGUCGCAUUUUUGUAUCUGCUGGUUUGCCUGUCAGGUUUGCAAUUUUCUGUGUGUCCUUGAUUAAUUUUGUAUUAUAUUCUUAUUAAUUUUCCUUUCCUUACAGAUUAUCAGGAAAUCAUUGAAAAUACAGUAAUGAGGAAAUUUAUACAAUUUGGAGAAGGAUUUUAAUUCUUUUUAAUAUGAUGUCGGCUCCGGGAUAGUGAUCCUUUUUAGUGCAGUGGCAUCAGGAGGUGGAGACGGCGUCUUAGGAUUAUUUAUUUUUUGUGUUUAUAAUCGCGAAAAUUGGCGAUUUCGUUUUGUUUUUGCGACGCUCGCCACCUCUUGUCAGUUGCUUUAGAUGUGGAACAACAGUUGGUUGUGGUCAAGUAGGUUUUAGCGUCAGCUCUUAAAGGCGCUCGUCGAUCUGGAUUUUGAGAGUAGCAGGAAGGAUGGAUUUUGCAGCUCCGCGCUGGGUGCCCUGGUCGAAGCGUAGGCAGCUUUUGUGGCCCGUCUUUUGCAGCGCUGCAUUGCAGGUACCCCCAUCAGAAGGACAGGAGCACCGCGUCGCAGAGAGCCUCAGGAGUCAUCACAGGUAAGUUUUGUUGCAUUUUGGCAGUGGUCUGUUGCGGCCGCUGGAAGUGGGCCACUUGCAACAAUUUUGUCCGGCCGGCGAUUGCAGGUUAGUUGUUCUUGGUAUCGGCAUCCAUCGCUGCCGUCAUUUGGUGAGUAUCAGUUGUAUCGUCGGUGGCAGUUUUAUGCAAUUGUUUGAAUAUAUUGCAGAUAAAAUUGCCGUUCGUCAGGAAGAGGAGUUGCAAUGAGUUGCCCCACGCAGCCGUCAUUGCAUUUCUUGAGAGCCGCUGUCUAUAUGGUGGUGGAGUCGUCUCGUGGCGAAGAAGUCAUCAGAGAGGAUUGUGGCUCGGUCUGUCACCGAAGGAAGCCAGGUGCGCCGCGUCUUGUGGCCAUAGCGUCAGGAUUGGCAGCUUGGGGCCGCCGUUUUAAGAUUUGUAGCAGAGAGCCGCCGCAACGGAAUAGCCAUGGAAAUGGAUGCAAAAAUAGUAUUUGGUACAUUGAGUGGAAUUAAUUUAAGGUACUUAAAAAGGAAGCUAGUCUGGGGUGAGUAUUUUAUUGCUUUUUUUAAUUGCGUUGAUUUAUUUGCUUUUCAGGUACGUUUUGUGAGGGCUAAAUUGGAGGCCCUUGUUAUUGUGUUGUUGCAGCUGGAAUGCCACGAUUUUGGAGUCAUCAAGUUGUCAAUUAGAUAAGUAUUAUAUUGUAAUUAUAUUUUUCCCAGUAAUAGCUUGUGUUCCCUUGUUUCAAUAGUUGUGGUCUUGGAAGCUGGAGCUGCGUGCUUGUCGUCAGCAGGAUGAGGCCGUCCACUAGCAUCUGCUACUUUGUCUGUCCGGUUUGUUAUUAUUUAUGUGUCCUUGAUAAUUUUUGUAUCGCAUUCUUAUUUAAUUUCCUUUCAUUACAGGUUAGCGGAAAAUUCGUCGAAGAUACAGAACUGAGGAGAAAUAUACAAUUUAAGGACAGGAUUUGCAGCAUUUUGAUGUGGCAUCUGCGCCAUGCAAAUUAUCCUUAUUUAUGCUUUGGCGUCAGGAGAUGGAGACGGCAUCCUAAAAUUGUCAAUUUUUUGUGUUUGAAAUCGCGAAAGUUGGCGAUUUAGUUUUGCUUUUGCGCUGCCUGUCUCCUGAUUUACGUGCGCUUCAUCGGCAGGAUGAGCUCGUCAGGUUUGCAUUUUUCUGUGUGUCCUUGAUUAGUUUUGUAUUAUAUUCUUAUUAAUUUUCCUUUCCUUUCAGGUUAUCAGGAAAUCAUUGAAAAAACGGUGCUGGGGAAAUUUAUACAAUUUGGAGACGGAUUUUAAUUAUUUUUAAUAUGAUGUCAGCUCCGGGAUAGUAAUCCUUGUUAGUGCAGUGGCAUCAGGAGGAGGAGACGGCGUUGUAAGAUUGUCAAUUUAUUGUGUUUAUAAUCACGAAGGAUGGCGAUUUUGUUUUUUCUUUGCAGGGCUCGUCUUCUCUUUUUGGUUGCGUUGGAUCACCAGUUGGCUGUGUUUGUUGAGGUUUUGGCGUCUCUAGUGUAGGCGCUCGUCGAUCUGAGGGAAUUUAAGAGUAGCGGAUGGAUAGAUUCUGCAGCUCCGCGCUAAGUGCCCUGAGCGAAGCGUAGGCAGCUUAUAUGGCCCGUCUAUUGCAGUGCAGCACUGCAAGUAG